CACGUAGGCACCAAGCGUUGUCCGGAUUUAUUGGGCGUAAAGAGCUCGUAGGCGGUUGAGUAAGUCGGGUGUGAAAACUCUGGGCUUAACCCAGAGCCGCCACCCGAUACUGCUCUGACUUGAGUUCGGUAGGGGAGCAGGGAAUUCCUAGUGUAGCGGUGAAAUGCGCAGAUAUUAGGAGGAACACCGGUGGCGAAGGCGGGUCUCUGGGCCGAUAUCGACGCUGAGGAGCGAAAGCGUGGGGAGCGAACAGG
rnacentral:rRNA from 1 species